rfam:Schistosoma haematobium scaffold286_31, whole genome shotgun sequence.
AUCGCUGACGAGUCCCAAAUAGGACGAUACGCGCUUUCUGGAU